GCGAACGGGUGAGUAACACGUGAGCAACCUGCCCCUGACUCUGGGAUAAGCGCUGGAAACGGCGUCUAAUACUGGAUAUGAGCUCCUGCCGCAUGGUGGGGGUUGGAAAGAUUUUUUGGUUGGGGAUGGGCUCGCGGCCUAUCAGCUUGUUGGUGAGGUAAUGGCUCACCAAGGCGUCGACGGGUAGCCGGCCUGAGAGGGUGACCGGCCACACUGGGACUGAGACACGGCCCAGACUCCUACGGGAGGCAGCAGUGGGGAAUAUUGCACAAUGGGCGGAAGCCUGAUGCAGCAACGCCGCGUGAGGGAUGACGGCCUUCGGGUUGUAAACCUCUUUUAGCAGGGAAGAAGCGAGAGUGACGGUACCUGCAGAAAAAGCACCGGCUAACUACGUGCCAGCAGCCGCGGUAAUACGUAGGGUGCAAGCGUUAUCCGGAAUUAUUGGGCGUAAAGAGCUCGUAGGCGGUUUGUCGCGUCUGCUGUGAAAUCCCGAGGCUCAACCUCGGGUCUGCAGUGGGUACGGGCAGACUAGAGUGCGGUAGGGGAGAUUGGAAUUCCUGGUGUAGCGGUGGAAUGCGCAGAUAUCAGGAGGAACACCGAUGGCGAAGGCAGAUCUCUGGGCCGUAACUGACGCUGAGGAG
rnacentral:rRNA from 1 species